GAUGAACGCUGGCGGCGUGCCUAAUACAUGCAAGUCGAGCGAACGGACGAGAAGCUUGCUUCUCUGAUGUUAGCGGCGGACGGGUGAGUAACACGUGGAUAACCUACCUAUAAGACUGGGAUAACUUCGGGAAACCGGAGCUAAUACCGGAUGAUAUUUUGAACCGCAUGGUUCAAAAGUGAAAGACGGUCUUGCUGUCACUUAUAGAUGGAUCCGCGCUGCAUUAGCUAGUUGGUAAGGUAACGGCUUACCAAGGAAACGAUGCAUAGCCGACCUGAGAGCGUGAUCGGCCACACUGGAACUGAGACACGGUCCAGACUCCUACGGGAGGCAGCAGUAGGGAAUCUUACGCGAUGGGCGAAAGCGUGACGGAGCAACGCCGCGUGAGUGAUGAAGGUCUUCGGAUCGUAAAACUCUGUUAUUAGGGAAGAACAUAUGUGUAAGUAACUGUGCACAUCUUGACGGUACCUAAUCAGAAAGCCACGGCUAACUACGUG
rnacentral:rRNA from 1 species